CCGCCGUUCGCCCGGCCGGCUGCCUGCCCACCGUCGGUACGACCACCUCCUUCUCAUCCUCCUUGACACCGCCGAUUUGAGUCCAUCUUCAGUUUCGCGGCCUCCCUUGCUCACCGGCGCAUUUAUUACUACAGCCAGCGAUGGCGUCCUCUCAGCCGCCGCCCGCCGCCUCCAGCUGGAGCGACCUGCCCCGGGACGCGAUUCUCGAGAUCCUGCUGCGCGUUCCAGCCAAGGAUCUCUGCCGCCUCCGCGCCGUCAGCCCGUCGUGGCGCGUCCUCACCUGCGACCCGCGCUUCAUCGCGGACCACAAAUCCCGCCACACGGCUCCGCUCCUCGCCGUGGCCUACCGCGAUCAAGACAUGGCAAACGGCGUUGAUGUUGUCGACUUGUCCGGCAAUGUCGUCAGGCGGAUUCCGAGCAUUGAGAGUGAUCUUCUUAGUACUGACAAGUCGGGCAAUGUCUACCCGGCGAUUCGAACCAGCGAAGAUAGCAUCCGUGUUGUGCGCACCCACCUUGAUCUCGUCUGUUUCACUAGGCAGUACCAUCCGUUGGGCAUCUGGGUGCUUAACCCGGCCACUGGCGCUACUCUUGUCUUGCCAAAGGAACACUCGGAGGAAUUGGCGCGUGAUGAUGAUGUAAAGCGGAAUUAUGGGCGCGGACAAAUGGAGUCAUGUGCUUUGGGGCAGGUUUCAUCCACGGGGGAGUACAAGUUGAUCCGUAUCAUUAGUGUCAGGGAUAGGCAGCUGUGCGAGGUCAUCACCCUUGAUGGCGCAAACUAUGGAAGCUGGAGAGGAAAGAAGAGCCCUCCGUCACCUAUCUGUGCCGGUCGUGGUGAAGGCAUGAAAUGUGUUGUCAUCGGUGGAGUGGUGUAUUUCUUGAGCAACUUUUACUCUAGUUAUUGUAACACUGGGGUGAUGACCAUUGAACCCGGCAGCAUAGCUUCGUUCAACCUUGAAACAGAAGAGUGGAUGGGUACUAUGCAUGGUCCGGCACCGGUACGCACAUUUGUUCAGGACACCGAGGGGUUCAUUUACGCGGAUCUUACUCUCCAGUUAUCAUUGGCUGAACUGGACGGCUCCUUAGUGACAGUUCAGAACAUUCAUUACAUCUCUAUCGACUUGUGGUUGCUCACAGAUGUGGAGAAUGGAAUCUGGGAAAAGAAAUACAAUAUUCCGUCACAUGUUGCUCAGUUGUUUGUGUAUCCCUUUCUGGUACUAAGUGAUGGAAGGAUCUUGUUUUCUCACGGAGAGAAAUAUGUAACAAGCUAUGAUCCAAAAACUGGAACUUAUGUUUAUGCACUGGAAGUGAAGGAUUCCAGAUCCAUUGGCAUAUACACAGGAAGCUUGCUGAGCUUGUAGAGGUCCUAUAACUGAUGAGGUGUGCCAAUGAUUAGUGAAUGACACACUGAUGAAUGCAUAGGGAGCCAGGACAUUGCGGAUUGCUCAAGGAAAAUACACAUUUGAGUAGAUGUUUUGUUCUGCGAUGAAGGAGGGGAAAAUCCAACUCAAAUGAUCUACUGUUCGAAGAGUGUUUUCGCCAUUGUGCAGUACUGUAGCCAAAGUACUUGAGUUUACAGGAUAUUUUCUUGUAACUGCAGAGGUCCAUUCUUUUUCUAGACCUGCACUAGAGUUGAAGUCUUUUAGAACAUGUUAGCCCUUUCCUCCCAUGAAGCUUACUUGGAGCACCUACAGUACAAGCAUAACUGAUGUAGAACGUGCAGGCGUGCAGCCAGUUUGUUGUUUGCUAUCUCUUUUGGGCUUGUUAAAAAAAUGCUUAUUUGGUAGGAACCAAUAUAUUUCCUCCAAUUUGAUACAGGAUCUCAUG